rnacentral:rRNA from 2 species
GACCCCUUAUAGACGAUGAGGUUGAUAGGUUCGGUGUGGAAGUGCAGUAAUGCAUGGAGCUGACGAAUACUAAUCGGUCGAGGACUUAUCCAC